GAGGAAUGGAUGAGCUGUAGAAACUGAAAUACCACCUCAGGGUGUGAGGUCAUUCCUGCACGAGAACAAGUCUACCUUGUAGCACCAUAGUGGUGUUGUCUUCUCAGGAGAACAGGAGCCCUUAGCACCCUGGCCUCCGGUUCACAGAUCCUUGUCUGCAUUCAACCUUGCUUUACUUUGGGCUUUCUACCAGCAGAAGCCACUGGAGGAAGAUUCUGUUGGUGCAAGGCAGCCUCCGCCAGGAGCUUUCAGGCGCCCCAGCAAAGCCUGACAAAUGACCAGUUACAGAAUGAGCUUAUGUCACUAAUUGGUCAAUCAGUGUGCAGCGCUACAAGUGACGUGAAUGAGUCUGGAGCAUAUGCAAUUAUAGAUUAUGAGAUUUGCAAAGACGGCAGCAAGAAUGAAGGGGUGUUCAUGCUGCUCCAGUCUAUCAAGGAUCACUGUGUCUAAUCAAGAUGUUGGUAGAAAGGGGAGACUUGGACCAGUUGUGGAAUUGCUUUGGAGACUGUAUAAUGUAAAUCAUUGUUUUGAUCAGGCCUUUGCUAUGAUUAAUAGUGAAGAAAAAUCCCCAGGAAAAAGCCAGUUUUGCUUCAUACACACAUACUGCUGUAUUUCUUCUUUGCACUGAGGAGUUUUAGCAGAUGUCCUUGGAUCACUAUUAUGCUUUCUUGGUAAUGAAUAAAAAUAAUGAGUCAGUCAAUUAAGCCUGAAUGACAGUGUAAAUCCUAUUGCAGCACAUAAAGCAGCUUCACUUUUUAUUUUCCUUUCGACAUCC